CCUACGGGUGGCAGCAGUGAGGAAUAUUGGUCAAUGGGCUUACGCCUGAACCAGCCAAGUCGCGUGAGGGAAGACUGCCCUAUGGGUUGUAAACCUCUUUUGUCAGGGAGCAACGCCGGCUACGUGUAGCCGGACGGAGAGUACCUGAAGAAAAAGCAGCGGCUAACUCCGUGCCAGCAGCCUCGGUAAUACGGAGGAUGCGAGCGUUAUCCGGAUUUAUUGGGUGUAAAGGGUGCGUAGGCGGAAUGCCAAGUCAGCGGUUAAAUCGCGGGGCUCCACCUCGCUCCGCCGUUGAAACGGGCGUUCUUGCGUGGGCGAGAGGUGUGCGGAAUGCGUGGUGUAGCGGU
rnacentral:rRNA from 1 species